UACGUAGGGGCCGAGCGUUGUCCGGAGUUAUUGGGCGUAAAGCGCGCGCAGGCGGCCUCGCGCGCCCGACGUGAAAGCCCCGGCUUAACCGGGGAGGGUCGUUGGGGACGGCGGGGCUUGAGGGCGGGAGAGGUCGGUGGAAUUCCCGGUGUAGUGGUGAAAUGCGUAGAGAUCGGGAGGAACACCUGUGGCGAAGGCGGCCGACUGGGCCGACCCUGACGCUGAGGCGCGAAGGCGUGGGGAGCGAACGGG
rnacentral:rRNA from 1 species